CCCGCUUAGUUCCGCGUUUAACUAUCCGUAGGAUAGCCUCUAUAAUUUAACCGGAGAAAACCGGAUUUUCUUGAAAUUUCUUACCUCUAUACGUGAGCUGUUGCUAGGCCUUUGUAAACUUUUGAAGCUUUAUCUAUAACUUGUGAAUUCCACUAAGCUUUUGCAAUAAAGUUUGUUGUUGUUUUUAUUUGGAGUUUGCUCGUCCAUUCGUUGCUGUAAAUCUAUAUCAAACUUUUCAUUUUCACAUUUUGCAGAGUUUCUCAUUCACUUAAAUUCACUACGGAUAUUUCUUUAAAGAUUUUUGGCUUCUUUACGAGAGGAGUCGAGGCAUGCAACAGCAAAAACUGUGAGUUGUAUUUGGCUUUUGUCAGUUGACUUAGUUUUAUACUGUUUGAAAUUUGUUCUUCGACCUUGCACUUUUAUUCAAAACAAUUUUAAGAACAUUUUGAAAGGCUGGUAUGGAUAAAAAUGAAGCCCUAAAGAAGAAUAAAG